AGGAAACUGGGAAACACUGAUGCCACCUCUCCACUCCAGUCUGAAGAAAAGUCAGGCAGGAGGAAACUGAGGCACAGAGAGCUAAAUAAGCUGCCCAAGAAGACAGAGGACUACUGGGCUGUGAAUUCAUGCAGUCUACCUCCAAUGCUUCCAACAGCUUCUCUGUGCUGCAGGACAAGUAAAGUCGACAACUGGGCUCUUCACUAGGAUGGACCACUCAAUGCUGGCCGGGCGCCCAGACUCUCCCACAUCCCGGCUCAGAUCUCGGAAGACGGCGAGGGAGGAGCGCGGCGAGGGGGCCGGGCGGGGCCUGGCAAGCCGGAGAGAAGGAGGAGCCUCGCCGAGAGCCUCG